rnacentral:rRNA from 1 species
UACGAAGGGGGGCUAGCGUUGUUCGGAAUUACUGGGCGUAAAGCGCGCGCAGGCGGUCUUCCAAGUCAGUGGUGAAAGCCCGGAGCUCAACUCCGGAACUGCCAUUGAAACUGUAAGACUUGAGGAUGAGAGAGGUGAGUGGAAUUCCGAGUGUAGAGGUGAAAUUCGUAGAUAUUCGGAAGAACACCAGUGGCGAAGGCGGCUCACUGGACCGGCAUUGACGCUGAGGUGCGAAAGCGUGGGGAGCAAACAGG